AACGAACGCUGGCGGCAGGCCUAACACAUGCAAGUCGAACGCACCGCAAGGUGAGUGGCGCACGGGUGAGUAACACGUGGGAAUGUACCCUUUGGUUCGGAAUAACGUUUGGAAACGAACGCUAAUACCGGAUGAGCCCUGCGGGGGAAAGAUUUAUCGCCAAAGGAGCAGCCCGCGUCUGAUUAGCUAGUUGGUGGGGUAAAGGCCUACCAAGGCGACGAUCAGUAGCUGGUCUGAGAGGAUGAUCAGCCACACUGGGACUGAGACACGGCCCAGACUCCUACGGGAGGCAGCAGUGGGGAAUAUUGCGCAAUGGACGAAAGUCUGACGCAGCCACGCCGCGUGAGUGAGGAAGGCCUUCGGGUUGUUAAAGCUCUGUCAACUGGAAAACGGACUAUCCGGGAAAGUUCGGUAGCGUGAUGGUACCAGUGGAGGAAGCACCGGCAAACUCUGUGCCAGCAGCCGCGGUAAU
rnacentral:rRNA from 1 species